AUGAACGCUGGCGGCGUACCUAAUACAUGCAAGUCGAGCGAACAGACGAGGAGCUUGCUCCUCUGACGUUAGCGGCGGACGGGUGAGUAACACGUGGAUAACCUACCUCUAAGACUGGGAUAACUUCGGGAAACCGGAGCUAAUACCGGAUAAUAUAUUGAACCGCAUGGUUCAAUAGUGAAAGACGGUUUUGCUGUCACUUAUAGAUGGAUCCGCGCCGCAUUAGCUAGUUGGUAAGGUAACGGCUUACCAAGGCAACGAUGCGUAGCCGACCUGAGAGGGUGAUCGGCCACACUGGAACUGAGACACGGUCCAGACUCCUACGGGAGGCAGCAGUAGGGAAUCUUCCGCAAUGGGCGAAAGCCUGACGGAGCAACGCCGCGUGAGUGAUGAAGGUCUUCGGAUCGUAAAACUCUGUUAUUAGGGAAGAACAAAUGUGUAAGUAACUAUGCACGUCUUGACGGUACCUAAUCAGAAAGCCACGGCUAACUACGUG
rnacentral:rRNA from 1 species